UACGUAGGGGGCGAGCGUUGUCCGGAAUCACUGGGCGUAAAGGGCGCGUAGGUGGCCCGGGCAGUCAAUGGUGAAAGUUCGGGGCUCAACCCUGAAUCGGCCGUCGAUACUCCCGGGCUGGAGCACUGUAGAGGCAGAUGGAAUUCCGGGUGUAACGGUGGAAUGCGUAGAGAUCCGGAAGAACACCGGUGGCGAAGGCGGUCUGCUGGGCAGUUGCUGACACUGAGGCGCAACAGCGUGGGGCGCAAACAGG
rnacentral:rRNA from 1 species